GGCAAGCGUUGUCCGGAGUUACUGGGCGUAAAGCGUGCGUAGGCGGUGUCUUAAGUUUGUUGUGAAAUCUCCCGGCUUAACCGGGAGGGUGCGGCGAAUACUGAGAUGCUGGAGUGCCGGAGAGGUAAGCGGAAUUCCUGGUGUAGCGGUGAAAUGCGUAGAUAUCAGGAGGAACACCUGCGGUGUAGACGGCUUACUGGACGGUAACUGACGCUGAGGCACGAAAGCGUGGGUAGCAAACAGG
rnacentral:rRNA from 1 species